rnacentral:tRNA from 1 species
AGCGCUCGGAGGUACGCAAUGGCUACAGGCUCUUGCUGCCAACCAACCAAAAUAGUUUCGCGGUGCGUAUUAUCAA